GUAAAUCUCGUGCCAGCCACCGCGGUCACACAAGAGACCCAAACUAAUCGUUCACGGCGUAAAGAGUGGACUCAUGCUUAUCGCAUUAAUUAAGGUCAAAACGCAGCUGAGCUGUCAUAAGCUUAAGGUGCACUUAAAACCGCCCUAAAUACGACCCUAAACUCAUACGACUCAAUGAACUCCACGAAAGCCAGGGUACAAACUGGGAUUAGAUACCCCACUAUGCCUGGCCCUAAAUCUUGAUGCUCUAUAUAACCAAAGCAUCCGCCUGAGAACUACGAGCACAAACGCUUAAAACUCUAAGGACUUGGCGGUGCCCCAAACCCACCUAGAGGAGCCUGUUCUGUAAUCGAUAACCCACGAUACACCCGACCACUUCUUGCCAAAAACAGCCUACAUACCGCCGUCGCCAGCUCACCUCUUCUGAGAGUACCACAGUGAGCACAACCGCUCUAACCCCGCUAACAAGACAGGUCAAGGUAUAGCCCAUGAAGUGGAAGAAAUGGGCUACAUUUUCUAACUUAGAAAAUCUCACGAAAAGGGGUAUGAAACAACCCCUGGAAGGUGGAUUUAGCAGUAAAGCGGGACAAUAUAGCCCCCUUUAAGCCGGCUCUGGGGCACGUACAUACCGCCCGUCACCCUCCUCAUAAGCUCUAAACUACUAAUAAAUAAUACCCCUAUCCGCUAAAGAUGAGGUAAGUCGUAACAAGGUAAGCAUACUGGA
rnacentral:rRNA from 1 species